rnacentral:rRNA from 1 species
AACGAACGCUGGCGGCAUGCCUAACACAUGCAAGUCGAACGAGACCUUCGGGUCUAGUGGCGCACGGGUGCGUAACGCGUGGGAACCUGCCCUUAGGUUCGGAAUAACUCCCCGAAAGGGGUGCUAAUACCGGAUAAUGUCUUCGGACCAAAGAUUUAUCGCCUUUGGAUGGGCCCGCGUUGGAUUAGCUAGUUGGUAGGGUAAAAGCCUACCAAGGCGACGAUCCAUAGCUGGUCUGAGAGGAUGGUCAGCCACACUGGGACUGAGAAACGGCCCAGACUCCUACGGGAGGCAGCAGUGGCGAAUAUUGGAAAAUGGGCGAAGGGCUGAUCCAGCAAUGCCGCGUGAGUGAUGAAGGCCUUAGGGUUGUAAAGCUCUUUUACCCGGGAUGGUAAUGACAGUACCGGGAGAAUAAGCUCCGGCUAACUCCGUG